AAGUCGUAACAAGGUUUCCGUAGGUGAACCUGCGGAAGGAUCAUUAACAUUUUCCAAAACCUUUCAACUCAACCCCAAACCCCGUGUUAUUUGUUAUCUCUCGCGUGUAUGUGAAACGAUCAGUCUUGCCGUUUUGAGGCUCAUAGCGUUCGCGGUACCUUUUUAGAGAGUGAUGCGUCCCCCCGUAUUGCUUGAAGAAUUGGGAAAGGAAGUCUUUUGCUUUGAAGCGAUGCGUUCGCAUGUAACAUAUAUGCACAAACCCCCCAAAUGUUUUCUUAUAGUAAUACCCCAAACCCCCUAAACAAGUUUUUUAGAACAGUAAAAGGUCACGGGACUAAUCGCCUGGGCCUGAUUUAUAGAAAUAUAAAUCGAACCUAUUUACAACUCUAAGCGAUGGAUGUCUCGGCUCUUAUAACGAUGAAGAACGCAGC
rnacentral:misc_RNA from 1 species